rnacentral:rRNA from 1 species
AUUGAACGCUGGCGGCAUGCUUUACACAUGCAAGUCGAACGGCAGCGCGGGCUUCGGCCUGGCGGCGAGUGGCGAACGGGUGAGUAAUACAUCGGAACGUGCCCAGUAGUGGGGGAUAGCUCGGCGAAAGCCGGAUUAAUACCGCAUACGACCUGAGGGUGAAAGCGGGGGAUCUUCGUACCUCGCGCUAUUGGAGCGGCCGAUGGCAGAUUAGCUAGUUGGUGGGGUAAAGGCCUACCAAGGCGACGAUCUGUAGCUGGUCUGAGAGGACGACCAGCCACACUGGGACUGAGACACGGCCCAGACUCCUACGGGAGGCAGCAGUGGGGAAUUUUGGACAAUGGGCGAAAGCCUGAUCCAGCAAUGCCGCGUGUGUGAUGAAGGCCUUCGGGUUGUAAAGCACUUUUGGCGGGAACGAAAAGGACUGUGCCAAUACCACGGUUCGAUGACGGUACCCGCAGAAUAAGCACCGGCUAACUACGUG